rnacentral:rRNA from 1 species
AUUAUUGGGAGUUAUAUAUUGCAAGUAUAUAAAUAAUAUGAAAACAAAAAAUUGUGGGGGUGUUUUAAGAUUUUCAGAGGGGUUUGUUCUUUAAUGGGUAAAACACCAACAUAUUUUUAAAAUUGGUUAAGCACAGUGUAUACCCCUAUUUAAGUAAUAUAAUGUAAUUAUUUUUAAAAUAUAAAAAAAAUAAAAAAAGUUAUAUCUCGGGGCGCCACAAAUUUUUUAAAGAGAUGAAUUUCAUUUUUUUUUUGAGGGAAUUAAUGAAAUAUAAAAUGUAUGAGAUGAAAAAAAAAUUUUAAUAUAAUGAGAAUUUGAAUUUUACUCUCUAAUAUGUGC